rfam:Citrus clementina cultivar Clemenules unplaced genomic scaffold scaffold_3, whole genome shotgun sequence.
AUACCAUGAUGAGGACACCUUCUGAGUAAUUCAUUGAAUCUUUCCCAAGCCUCAUACAAACUUUCAUCUUCAAGUUGAUAGAAGGAAGUAAUCUCAUUUCGCAAUUU